rnacentral:lncRNA from 1 species
GCUCUCGCUUUCUCUCUCUCUCGCUGAGCUCCUUGAUUCUUUUCUACUGUUGUCUAGUCUCCUCUCUGACUUGACCGUCGGAGGGUCCCUGCCGGAGAUAUCUCCGGUCAGUGUGGACUUUUCUUUGCAGGUGCUCGUUUCCGACAAUCAGACGAUGAGGGGAUUGGCCGCAACAUAUAGGAUGAACAGCACAUCAAAUGGAUGCUC